rnacentral:rRNA from 1 species
GACGAACGCUGGCGGCGGGCCUAACACAUGCAAGUCGAGCGAGGACUUCGGUUUUAGCGGCGGACGGGUGAGUAACGCGUGGGAAUGUACACUUCUCUACCGUACCGCUCUGGGAAACUGGGCUUAAUACCGUAUACGCCCUUAUCGGAUAAGAUUUCUCGGAGAAGGAUCAGCCCGCGUUGGAUUAGGUAGUUGGUGGGGUACUGGCCUAUCAAGCCGACGAUGCAUAGCUGGUUUGAGAGGAGGACCAGCCACACUGGGACUGAGACACGGCCCAGACUCCUACGGGAGGGUGGAGAAGGGAAUCCUAUGCAAGGAAGGCAAACCUGAUCUAGCCAUGCGGGGGAAGAGAGGAUGGCGGUAGGAUUGUAAAUCUCUUUCAGCUGGGAAGAUAGUGACGGUACCGGCAGAAGAAGCCCCGGCUAACUACGUG